rnacentral:rRNA from 1 species
GUUGUAUAGUCAAGUAAUUAAGUGCAUGUGGUGGAUGCCUUGGCAGUCAGAGGCGAUGAAAGACGUGAUAGCCUGCGAAAAGCUCCGGGGAGGCGGCAAAUAUCCUUUGAUCCGGAGAUGUCUGAAUGGGGGAACCCACCUACUUUAAGGUAGGUAUUGCAACAUGAAUACAUAGUGUUGCAAGGCGAACGAGGGGAAGUGAAACAUCUCAGUACCCUUAGGAAAAGAAAUCAAUUGAGAUUCCCUCAGUAGCGGCGAGCGAACGGGGAUCAGCCCAUUAAGUUAUGUGUGUUUUAGUGGAACGCUCUGGGAAGUGCGAACGUAGAGGGUGAUAUUCCCGUACACGAAAGGGCACACAUAAUGAUGACGAGUAGGGCGAGGCACGUGAAACCUUGUCUGAAUAUGGGGGGACCAUCCUCCAAGGCUAAAUACUCCUGACUGACCGAUAGUGAACCAGUACCGUGAGGGAAAGGCGAAAAGAACCCCUGUGAGGGGAGUGAAAUAGAUCCUGAAACCGCAUGCAUACAAGCAGUGGGAGCACCUUCGUGGUGUGACUGCGUACCUUUUGUAUAAUGGGUCAGCGACUUAUAUUCAGUAGCAAGGUUAACCGUAUAGGGGAGCCGUAGAGAAAUCGAGUCUUAAUAGGGCGUUUAGUUGCUGGGUAUAGACCCGAAACCAGGCGAUCUAUCCAUGAGCAGGUUGAAGGUUGGGUAACACUAACUGGAGGACCGAACCCACUGUCGUUGAAAAGCCAGGGGAUGACUUGUGGAUAGGGGUGAAAGGCUAAUCAAGCCUGGUGAUAGCUGGUUCUCCCCGAAAGCUAUUUAGGUAGCGCCUCGGACGAAUACCAUAGGGGGUAGAGCACUGUUUCGGCUAGGGGGUCAUCCCGACUUACCAAACCGAUGCAAACUCCGAAUACCUAUGAGUACUAUCCGGGAGACAGACUGCGGGUGCUAACGUCCGUAGUCAAGAGGAAAACAAUCCAGACCGCCAGCUAAGGCCCCAAAAUCAUAGUUAAGUGGGAAACGAUGUGGGAAGGCAUAGACAGCUAGGAGGUUGGCUUANNNNNNNNNNNNNNNNNNNNNNNNNNNNNNNNNNNNNNNNNNNNNNNNNNNNGAAGCAGCCACCCUUUAAAGAAAGCGUAAUAGCUCACUAGUCGAGUCGGCCUGCGCGGAAGAUGUAACGGGGCUAAAACUAUGUGCCGAAGCUGCGGAUGUAUACUUUGUAUACGUGGUAGGGGAGCGUUCUGUAAGCCGAUGAAGGUGUGUUGAGAAGCNNAUGCUGGAGGUAUCAGAAGUGCGAAUGCUGACGUGAGUAACGACAAAACGGGUGAAAAACCCGUUCGCCGAAAGACCAAGGGUUCCAGUCCAACGUUAAUCGGGGCUGGGUGAGUCGACCCCUAAGGCGAGGCCGAAAGGCGUAGUCGAUGGGAAAAUGGUUAAUAUUCCAUUACUUCUGUGUAAUGCGAUGAGAGGACGGAGAAGGCUAAAUCAGCCUGGCGUUGGUUGUCCAGGUGAAAGGAUGUAGGCAUGUAUCUUAGGCAAAUCCGGGGUACUCUAUGCUGAGAUCUGAUAGCAAGCUGUACUUGUACAGCGAAGUGGUUGAUGCCAUGCUUCCAGGAAAAGUCUCUAAGCUUCAGUUACACAGGAAUCGUACCCGAAACCGACACAGGUGGUCAGGUCGAGUAGACCAAGGCGCUUGAGAGAACUCUGCUGAAGGAACUAGGCAAAAUGGUACCGUAACUUCGGGAGAAGGUACGCUGUUGUUGGUGAUGGAACUCGCUUCCUGAGCUGACGACAGCCGCAGAAACCAGGCCGCUGCAACUGUUUAUUAAAAACAUAGCACUCUGCAAACACGAAAGUGGACGUAUAGGGUGUGAUGCCUGCCCGGUGCUGGAAGGUUAAUUGAUGGGGUUAGCGUAAGCGAAGCUCUUGAUCGAAGCCCCAGUAAACGGCGGCCGUAACUAUAACGGUCCUAAGGUAGCGAAAUUCCUUGUCGGGUAAGUUCCGACCUGCACGAAUGGCAUAAUGAUGGCGGCGCUGUCUCCAGCAGAGGCUCAGUGAAAUCGAAAUCGCUGUGAAGAUGCAGUGUACCCGCGGCUAGACGGAAAGACCCCGUGAACCUUUACUGCAGCUUGACACUGAACUUUGACCUUACUUGUGUAGGAUAGGUGGGAGGCUUUGAAGCUGGAACGCUAGUUCCAGUGGAGCCGUCCUUGAAAUACCACCCUGGUAAUGUUGAGGUUCUAACUCUGUCCCGUGAUCCGGGACGAGGACCGUGUCUGGUGGGUAGUUUGACUGGGGCGGUCUCCUCCUAAAGAGUAACGGAGGAGUACGAAGGUGCGCUCAGCGUGGUCGGAAAUCACGCGUAGAGUAUAAAGGCAAAAGCGCGCUUAACUGCGAGACCCACAAGUCGAGCAGGUACGAAAGUAGGUCUUAGUGAUCCGGUGGUUCUGUAUGGAAGGGCCAUCGCUCAACGGAUAAAAGGUACUCUGGGGAUAACAGGCUGAUACCGCCCAAGAGUUCAUAUCGACGGCGGUGUUUGGCACCUCGAUGUCGGCUCAUCUCAUCCUGGGGCUGAAGCAGGUCCCAAGGGUAUGGCUGUUCGCCAUUUAAAGAGGUACGCGAGCUGGGUUUAGAACGUCGUGAGACAGUUCGGUCCCUAUCUACCGUGGGCGCUGGAAAUUUGAGAGGAUCUGCUCCUAGUACGAGAGGACCAGAGUGGACGAACCUCUGGUGUACCGGUUGUGACGCCAGUCGCAUCGCCGGGUAGCUAUGUUCGGAAGGGAUAACCGCUGAAAGCAUCUAAGCGGGAAGCCUACCUCAAGAUAAGAUUUCCCUAGGACUUUAUGUCCUCUAAAGAGCCGUUCGAGACUAGGACGUUGAUAGGUUGGAUGUGGAAGCAUAGUGAUAUGUGAAGCUGACCAAUACUAAUUGCUCGUGAGGCUUGACUAUACAACACCCAAGCAGUUG